rnacentral:rRNA from 1 species
CAGUCGCCACGGUAAUACGUAGGGUGCGAGCGUUAAUCGGAAUUACUGGGCGUAAAGCGUGCGCAGGCGGUUGUGUAAGACAGGUGUGAAAUCCCCGGGCUUAACCUGGGAACUGCGCUUGUGACUGCACAGCUAGAGUAUGGCAGAGGGGGGUGGAAUUCCACGUGUAGCAGUGAAAUGCGUUGAGAUCGGAAAGAACACCAACGGCGAAAGCACUCUGCUGGGCCGACACUGACACUGAGAGACGAAAGCUAGGGGAGCAAAUGGGAUUAGAUACCCGCGUAGUCCCUGUCUCUUAUAC